rnacentral:lncRNA from 1 species
GGUUAAUUACCAGUUAUGAAAUUAAUACAUAUACAAGGGCAAUUUUUAAGUUUUUUAGAUACGUAUUCGUCAAGAAAACUAUACUUUUCUGAAAACUCAUGUGAUGUGAUGUCACACCGGUGAUAUUUGCAUAUGAAACAAUGUUGAAUAUCUUGAAAAGGGAGCAAGUUACCAAAAUUCUAUAAAAGAAAUUAUUAAGUCAUUUUAAGUGAUCUUUAUAAUGCAAUCAUAAACCUUUGGGGUGAAAUUUCGUGUCAUGGGCACUUUAAUAAAUAUAAAUGCUAGUUUUUUUCAACCAUGGUUGAAGUCUAAGUUGGCGUCUGGCCAACCGGCAACUCAGCCCAGGAUGAAAUUUUUGUCAUGUAAUCGCUAUGUUUCAAUAGGAUUUUUACCGCCUCGUGUGGCACCUAGGCCUAGCUCAGCAAGUUUCGCUCGUGUGCGGUUAGUUUUCGUGAGGAUUUGAUCUCUCGAGGCCUUGAGGAAAAUAUCUAUCGUGUUUGAUAUUUUUCACCUCGCGAGGAAAAAAUCUCAACGUCUGCGGAUGUUGCGAGCUAAGUGCUGAGCUGCUUGAAUCAAUUAGCCAAUGAGAAACCAUAGUUUCUUCAUGUGACGUUGAACAAAAUGGAGGAAAAUGCAAACGAUUUUGUCAGUUAUGUUGUUGUUGAGUAGUUUUCCCAACGUGUGCGGUGCUACACAGAAGUUACACAUGCAGAAGUCCAUCUCCAUUGUUUUCUUGCGUAAGCGCUAUUCGUCACUCAGCAAGUACCGUAAACAGAAGCAGUCCCCCCUGGAAAUACUCAAAAUGGCGCACGUCCAGGGGGAUGACUGCUUCUGUUUACGGUACUUGCUGAGUGACGAAUCAUGACGAAUAACGCUUACGCAAAAAAACAAUGGAGAUGGUGUGAUGGACUUCUGUGUAGUAUUCUGUGAUUUGGGUGCCUGUUCUUUCAUAAUACCGACGGUUGUCCGAGUACUCUGCGGAGAUGUCAUCUAGUUAUGAUACUAAUGCUGGUUAUCUGUUUCAAAAACUUGGUUGGAAAAGCCUUGCAUCUCAGCGUAAAAUUGCUAAGGCUGUAAUGGUGUAUAAAUCUCUGAAUGGUACCGGAUUAUACCUAACGGAAAUGUUUGUUGAUCGCAGUAUAGCGUUACAAAUUAUACGUUGAGAGGCACCAGAGGCAAGUUAGCUUUACCUCAACCACGCACAAGCUAUUUGAAAAGUAGUUUUAGCUGUGGAACACCCUUCCACUGGGGUUACGACCAGCUAACACUUUACGGAAAUUCAAGUCUGACUGCAGCAACUUCAUACGAUAGUUUUCAAAUUUUUAUCUUUAUAUUAAUAAUUGCACGUGGAAAACACAACAUGAGCUCCACCUUUGAAUUUACUAUAUGACUAAAUUCUUAAACACGUUCGAAUUUAUCAUUAUCAUAAUGAUAAAUUCGCGGCACAUUUUGAAUUUAUCAAUAGAGUUAAUCAUAAAACCACAAGCAUUUUCAAGAUUUUCAGAAAAAAUGUUUUAAAAAAGUUUUAAAAAAGAAAAAAAGUUUAAAAAGUUAGAUUUUUAAAAAAGUUUAAAAAGUUAAAAAAAAAUAAAAAGUUAAAAAGGUUAGGGGUUAGUGUUAGGUGCCGCGAAUUUAUUAUUAUGAUCAAUUCAAAAUGUGCCGCGAAUUUAUCAUAAUGAUAAAUUCGGACAUGUUUAAGAAUUUACUCAUAUUGUAAAUUCAAAGGUGGAGCUCAUGCUGGGAAAACAGGUACUUUUAUAAAUGUAUAUGUACAUAAAAUUUGUAAUAUGUAAUUUUUUAUUGUACUAUGUUCUAUAAUUGGCGUGUAAAAUCCUGAUGAGUUUACCGUGGUUAAAUAGAGUUCACUUACUUACUUACUUACUUACUUACGUACUUAUUCUCCGAAGUAUACGCGAGGCGAAACGGAAAAUCGGACAACCGUCGGUAGUGUUAUAAAGAUGCUCCCUGCAGUUUCCAAUAUAUGUCAGUGUUUUAAACUGAAACCUAUUUAAUUAAUUUGAAUCUAAACAAAACCAAUUUUUUGCACAAGCCAUUGUUUUCUCUUGUAUAAAAGAGUUAUUUUAAUUUUAACCCACAAUCACUACUCUUCACGUUACCAUGACAACAUGACGUCACCAUCUUUAUGGCCUAUAUCAACCAAAAACGCCGUCUUAGCGGACAAAUAACCACGGUAACCUUUUUUAUUGCAGAAAAUACAUGUUAUGAAGUUUUGAAUUUUUUUAAAAGUUAUUUGAAAAUCGCCAGUGUAGUUUUCGAGAAACUGAAUUUCAGCCUUUCCAAAGGCUAAAAUGCAAUCUUAAAGAUGCUGUAAAGUUGGUUCUGCGCAUAUAUUCUGCGCAUCAGCACAUUCCAUCAGUGGGGGAGCGACCUUUGGAAUGUUGUUAAUAUUUCGCACCUUCCGAAAUUUCUUGAAUUGAAUCUCUAGUCUGCAUUCAUUUACAAGCAUAGCGAACCGGAAGAGUGUUAAAAAUUCAGUAUAAUAUAUAUCUAAUCAUAUUUUACAACUGUAGCAGUGAGUUCAAAAUGUAAACAAAGCGUUUGUUUACAUUACGGACUUUACAUCACCUUUAAAGGCUGAAAUUCAGUUUCUCGAAUUUAACUACACUGGCGAUUUUCAAAUAACUUUCAAAAAAGAUUCAAAAUUUCAUAACAAUGUAUUUUCUGCAAUAAAAAAGGUAGGUCACCGUGGUUAUUUGUCCGCUAAGACGGCUUUUUUGGUUGAUAUAGGCCAUAUUGAUGGUGACGUCAUGUUGUCAUGGUAACGUGAAGAGUAGCGAUUGUGGGUUAAAAUUACUCUUUCAUAUAAGAGGAAACAAUGACUUGUGCAAAAAAUUAGUGGUUUUUUUUAUAUUCAAAUUAAUUAAAUAGGUUUUAGUUUAAACAUUGACAUAUAUUGGAAACUGUAGGGGGCCUCCUUAAGCUAAUUCUAAAAUAAGACCAAAGUCAUUCUAACGUGUUCCCUUGCUGACGUUUUGCGGUCGCUACGCCCACAUCGCGCCUUACUCUAGAAAUGCCGUAACAAUAUCUUCCAUGUGCAUACAGGAGUGGCAUGGGAAAAUAACUUUUCAUCCUAGAUGGGAGCCACCGAAAUAGAUAGGAGUAG